rnacentral:rRNA from 1 species
GUGAGGAAUAUUGGUCAAUGGGCGAGAGCCUGAACCAGCCAAGUCGCGUGAAGGAAGAAGGAUCUAUGGUUCGUAAACUUCUUUUGCAGGGGAAUAAAGUGCAGGACGUGUCCUGUUUUGUAUGUACCCUGAGAAUAAGGAUCGGCUAACUCCGUGCCAGCAGCCGCGGUAAUACGGAGGAUCCGAGCGUUAUCCGGAUUUAUUGGGUUUAAAGGGUGCGUAGGUGGUUUGAUAAGUCAGCGGUGAAAGUUUGCAGCUUAACUGUAAAAAUGCCGUUGAAACUGUCGGACUUGAGUGUAAAUGAGGUAGGCGGAAUGCGUGGUGUAGCGGUGAAAUGCAUAGAUAUCACGCAGAACUCCGAUUGCGAAGGCAGCUUACUAAGCUACAACUGACACUGAAGCACGAAAGCGUGGGGAUCAAACAGGAUUAGAAACCCGGGUAUCC